UGUGGACCUCAUUCAAGUCCCCGAUCUCUGCAUGCUUCCUUCCU
rnacentral:tRNA from 1 species